AGUGAACGCUGGCGGUAGGCCUGACACAUGCAAGUCGAACGGCAGCACAGUAAGAGCUUGCUCUUACGGGUGGCGAGUGGCGGACGGGUGAGGAAUACAUCGGAGUCUACUUUUUCGUGGGGGAUAACGUAGGGAAACUUACGCUAAUACCGCAUACGACCUACGGGUGAAAGCAGGGGAUCUUCGGACCUUGCGCGAUUGAAUGAGCCGAUGUCGGAUUAGCUAGUUGGCGGGGUAAAGGCCCACCAAGGCGACGAUCCGUAGCUGGUCUGAGAGGAUGAUCAGCCACACUGGAACUGAGACACGGUCCAGACUCCUACGGGAGGCAGCAGUGGGGAAUAUUGGACAAUGGGCGCAAGCCUGAUCCAGCCAUACCGCGUGGGUGAAGAAGGCCUUCGGGUUGUAAAGCCCUUUUGUUGGGAAAGAAAAGCAGCAGGUUAAUACCCCGCUGUUCUGACGGUACCCAAAGAAUAAGCACCGGCUAACUUCGUG
rnacentral:rRNA from 1 species